GAGCAUGGCUGCGCUGAGGGACUGCAAGGCCUGGCAGGAUGCUGGACUUGCCCUGUCCACGACCAGCAAUGAAGCCUGUAAGCUCUUCGAUGCUGUGCUGACGCAGUAUGCAACUUGGACCAAUAAUGAAAGCCUUGGAGGUAUUGAAGGAUGUCUCUCCAAGCUAAAAGCAGCAGAUCCAGACUUUAUGAUGGGACAUGUCAUUGCCAAUGGCUUAGAGCUGAUUGGCACUGGAAGGACCGUGAGGCUCGACAAGGAGCUGGACAGUGCCGUGAGAGCCAUGGUAGCACUUUCCAAGUCACAGCUGCUGACAGAGCGGGAGAGGCUUCAUGUGUCAGCGGUGGACAUGUUUGCCAGGGGCCAGCUUCCAAAAGCUUGUGAUCUAUGGGAGCAGAUUCUGCAGAGCCACCCAACUGACCUCCUAGCCCUCAAAUUUUCCCAUGACACUUAUUUCUACCUGGGAUAUCAACGUCAGAUGCGAGAUUCUGUUGCCCGUGUUUAUCCUUUUUGGACACCUGAUGUUCCACUGAGCAGCUAUGUGAAAGGCUACUACGCUUUCGGACUUGUGGAAACAAACCUUUUUGACCGUGCUGAGAAGGUUGCCCAUGAGGCUUUGGCUAUAAAUCAGACAGAUGCAUGGUCUGUCCAUACUAUAGCUCAUGUAAAUGAAAUGAAAGCAAAGGUGGAGGAAGGCUUAAAAUUCAUGAAGGAAAUGGAAAAGCACUGGAAGAACAGUGAUAUGCUUGCUUGCCAUAAUUACUGGCACUGGGCUUUAUACUACAUUGAAAAGGGGGAAUAUGAAGCUGCUUUGACAAUUUAUGACAAGCAUAUUGCUCCCCUGUGCCUGGCAAGUGGAAGCAUCCUGGAUAUAGUUGAUAACAGUUCGAUGCUGUACAGGCUUCAUCUGGAAGGUGUAAAGCUUGGGGACAGGUGGAAUGAUUUGCUUGGGGUCACGAAGAAGCACGCCAAGGAUCACAUUCUUCUGUUCAAUGAUGUGCACUUCUUGAUGUCUUUCCUUGGAGCCAAAGACCACAAAACUACUGAGGAGCUUUUAACAACUCUGCAGGAACUUGCCAGAGCUCCUCCUGAAGACCACCAGCUUUCCCUGGCUCCUAGUUUGGGGCUGCCACUGUGCCAGGCUUUUGUAGAGUUUGAAAAUGGGAAUUGUGACAAAGCUGUAGACCUGCUGUACCCAAUCCGUUAUGAACUAGUCCAACUGGGAGGCAGUGAUGCUCAGAGAGAUGUUUUCAGCCUGUUAUUGAUUCAUGCUGCUUUAAAUUCUAAAUCAAAGGCCAAACAAAACCUUGCAAGGUGUCUCCUGCAUGAACGUGAUCUAAUGAGACCCAAGUCACCGAUGACUGAGCGACUGAUCAGGAAGGCAGCAGCUGUGCAUUCCAUGGCAUAGGCUUUCCUCCAGCUUCAGCUGGAAGAGCCAGGAGCUUUCCACAAAGCCUGGUUGCAGGGAGUGCAGGGGUACUGUGAAGGAAUUUGGGGAGAAUCAACAUUUAUCUCCGUAAACUGCAAACGUGUGAUGCUGGCAGGCUGAUGUCACCUGGUAAUACUUUCCACUUAAGCCAAGUGUGGACUCAAGAUUACAAAGUGAGAUCCCAACAUCCCACAUUCCAAAGUGUUUUAAGCAGGAAAGCUGUGGCCAUCCUAAAUGGUAACAAGGAAACUAACAUCUUAUCCUACCAGGCAAAAAUUCCCCGUUUUAGAAGGCUGAGCUUAUAGAGAAAAUAAAGUAGAAUAAAACUUGUGUUUCACAGAUACAUUUAAGUACUUAUUUAUGAGGAGAUCUCUCGCAGGGAAGUGUUCUAAAGAUUACAAGAAAGAACUAUUUUUUUGAAUUUAUUAAAAAGCCUUUAAAAUGUUGAGUGAGAUCUCCCAUGUCUCAAUACAGGAGCAUUUUCCAAAGCUUACAGCACAACACAUGUGCUGUACUGAUUGUCUGCACAGUCUGUGGCACAACAGCCCAAGUUGCUCACCAUUACCGACACGAUGAAAAUCAUGUCACUGUAUUUCAGUACUUCAUAUUUUAUUUUGAAUCACAGAAUGGUUUGGGUUGGAAGGGACCUUAAAGCCCAUCCAGUGCCACCCCCUGCCACAGGCAGGGACAGCUUCCACUAUGCCAGGUUGCUCCAAGCCCCAUUUAACUUGGCCUUGGACACUUUGAGGGAUGGGGCAGCCACAGGGCACAGCCACUGUGCCAGGGCCUCCCCAGCCUCACAGGGAAAAAUUUCUUCCUAAUACCCAGUCUAAACUGAAGCCAUCCCCCCUUGUCUUGUCACUCAAGGCCCUUGUAAAUUAUCAGCUCAGCACAAAGGGGAUUCAGGGGCAGGGUAUGUCCAGCUAUCACCACUAGCACCCCCAAAUCCUUCUCCCAGGGCUGCUCCAUCUGCUUAUCUCUAGCCUGAACUGACCCCAGGGGUUGUCCUGGCUCAGAUGCAGCACCAGUACUUGUUGAACCUCAUGGGAUUCCCAUGGACCACACCUUGAGUUUGUCCAUAUCUUUUUGGAUGGCCCUGUCCUUCAGGUAUGUCACCUACCGUGUUCAAAACUUGGUGUCAUCUGCAAAUUUAUUUAUACAUGAACAAUUCUCACUUAAACUACAAAUGUACUUUUGCUCUGCUGUAUCCUUCAGGCUUAUGGUGUGAUUCUUGGGGUGUCCUGUGCAGGGCCAGGUGUUGGACUUGAUGAUCCCAAUGGAUCCCUUCCAACUCAGCCUAUUCUAUGAUUCUAUGACCUCUACCUGAGGAAUUGAAACCUUACUAGGUAAAAGAGAGGGUCAGCCAAGUUACACAAGGCCUAAUCCUGUAAGAAAGGUACUAUGAUUAUAUGUAUCAUAUAUCAUAUGAUGGCCUCCUGACAACAAAGCUGUUCUCCUGUCCAUGAAAACUUGUGGGUUUUUCCUUAUUUCCCCAAGGAUGCUUCUAAUGCUAAUGAAGGAUCACAGCAUAACAUUGCUUUCGAAGGCUGAUGUGGCAUAACUACGCAACUUCUUCAGCAUUUUUCACCUUCAGGCCUGAAAAGGAAAUCCCACUGAGUAUCUUCAUUUUUGCCAUUUCUUGAGUUGAAGGUCUGCGCUCAGAUCCAUGAUGUAUGUGACAGUACUGGAGGAUAGAGAGAUUUCCUUUCCUGGAUCUCCAAUCCAAAUUUGCUCCUCCUGUCUUGAACUUGGUGAGUUUUGGGUUUGUUUUUGUUUGGAGUUUUCAGUUUUUGGUUUGGUGAGUUUUUGGUAUGUAGAUAAAUGCCUAAAAUGCAGUUAAGUUCAAGGCAAUUUGGCACCUGUUUCAUGAGCCCUAGAUCUUUAGCACGCCCACCCAAGAAAUUACUCCUGUCUCUUUUUAGCAUCCACACAGUUACAGUUGAUUCAGUUAAGCUCUGAACUGUGCCUUUCCAUCAGAAUUACAAGAAGGGGGAAAAAAAAGAUACCUUGUAUCCCAAGUCAGGCAGUGCAGAUGCAUCCCAGUGACUAGGACAGGUCUGAUUUGGAAUAGAAGAAUCCCUUUGGCUGCUUGCAAACAGACAGAAAAUGAAGUGUUAGGAAUUCUAGUACUGCUUCAAACACUCAGAUUUGGAGCAUCCCCUUUGGCCAAUUCCUGUAUUUAAAAAUUAACAAAAUAAGCCACAAAGAAACUGGGAAAUAGCCUCAGUAUGUAGGCUGGGCUCUGCAUGCUGCCACUCAACCAUCACAAUGCAAAAAUCUUGCAUUGCUUUUUUAAUUAACAGCUGUGGCUGGAGUAACAUGGAUCCCAAGCAGCAGGUGAGGCACCAAGACUGCAGUUUGUGAUACAACUUUUGUUUUGCAGUCCAUGGGUAGGUUUUCUCCAGCAGCAAUGUCUGAAGAGAAGGCAACUGCUGCCAACACUGGGACCCAUUUUGCCUUGUGAUUACUUCUAAAAUAUGAAAAAUCAACCUAAACAGCACUUACCCUGUCUUUAUCUUCUGUACAUCUUCAGAAGACACGAAUUUUGGUCGCCUGCAAACCUGUCUUUGAGUUUUAAAACUAGUGUUUGUCUGAGUCAUUUCUUGAGGAGAAAAAAGAGAACAAAAAAGAAGUCAUUAAAUAAGUCUACAAGACAGGGUCAUCCUGUCCUCAUCAGGCAUUCUUUAAUGCCAACUGCAUAGUCACUAUCAAUUCUACCUGCUGACGAGUAGUUGCACAAAGGCUGUAUAAGCUUGCUAUAACUCUGUGAUUGAACCUGUGCCUAUCCUGCCUGCUCCCUCAAGCCACCACUCGUGCUCUUGAAACAUUGUUACAGCAGCAUAAAGAUGCCUAACUUGUAUUUUUUACCAUCCACAGUGUUAACUUACUUUCCAUAAAGUUUACUAUGACUUUAUGUGAAGACUAUGAACCUUUAUAUUUCUCCUCAGAUGUGAGUCUGGAGAGUGUCAAGGAAUAAUGGGGGAAGAUUACUUUUGUAAGGAAUUUGCUCUGAGCCACAACUACCUCACUUGCAGUAAGUGAAACUGGUGGUGUCAGGAAAGAAAAUCAUACUUUCUGAAAACUGAGACUUUGAAAUAGUCUAUAAAGCACUGCAUAGUUGUAGAUGAGAACCUUUAAAAUUACUACCUUUAAAAUUGAGUUCAUACUGAUGUUGGCCAGCCUGGAAAGCUACAGUGACACCUGGAUCUGCUUGAUACAAAUUCUCAAUAACAGCAGAAGAUGGUGAGGUCGUGCUGUUCCCUUCUUCCUUUGUGGAGAGAAUAGAAAAAAAUAAAGAGAAUGAAAAGUAUCACAGUCAGGACUAAACCCUGGAUAACUAGCUGGGGUAGAGGGAAAGAAGAGACCAAGUCUAGGAUGACAAGGAAUCUACCCAGAACUAUGGUGGCCUGAGGCUGAGUACUGAAUAUUUGUAACAUAAACACAAAUAUGUAAUUAGUAAAUUUAAAUUCCUGUAAAGAGUUGUGCUGGUUCUGGCUGGGGUAGAGUUAAAUUUCCUCCCAGUAGCUGGUAGUGGCUGUGUUUUGGAUUUGUGCUAGAACAGGGCUGAUAACACAGGGAUAUUUUAGUGAUUAUUUAGUUUAGGCAUGCACAGAGCCAAGGCUUUUUCUGCUCCUCUCCCACCCCACCAGUGACAGGCCUGGGGUGGAUAUACAUCCAGGAGGAUACAUAUCCAGGAGAGCUGACCCCAACUGGCCACAGGGACAUCCUGGACCUAAGCUGUCACUCCUGUAUACAAAGCAGGGGGGAGGAGAAGGAGGGGAUAUUUGGGGGGAUGGUGUUUGUUUUCCCAAGAGAAUAAACUCUCCCAAGCUGUGAUGGAGCCCAGCUUUCCUGGGAUGGCUGAGCACCUGCCUGUCCAAGGGAAGAGGGCAAUGAAUGCCUUGUUUUGCCUUGCUUGUGCACACACUGUUGCUUUAUCUUUUAGUCUUUAUCUCAUCCCAUCUGUUUUCUCACUCUCUGCCCAGUUCCACUGCAGGGGAGGGGGCAAGAGCUGCAACAGGCUGUAAUGGUACACUCGACUCCUUACCAAACCGGAGUUAGUUUGGUUCAGGCUCCAAAGGAAGCAAAGGCCUACGUCAAGAACUUUUCUAGUUCCAGCCUGCUAUCUGAAAACCCACAAAGGAACAGGGUGACAUGGUGAGCACUGAUGCAUGUGAGCUUGGAAACUAAUCACGGAUUAUGUGAUUAAUGUAUGAAUAGCAGGUAGUUCUUCCAAGACUAAUUUGCCAUGGAAAAAAAAAAAAAAAGUUGCACUUUGCUUGUGAUUUAACUAUGAGCCAACCACUUCAUUCCACAGAUAGGAAAGCCUGAGUGAGCUCCUUGCAAGCUCUGCCUGCUAAAGAGCAGCUGGACAGCUGUGAUCUCUCCUGGACCUGGCUGAUUCUUGGAGGUUGAGUAUUCUUGAGGUUACUCUGAGUCUUUUAAACUGCACUCUAUCCAGCACCUUUCUCUGUGUACUUUUCCAAGUCCCUGGAUCACCUUUGUGUUCUAAUAUUUGUGCUGCUGUACUGUGAACCAUAUUGGAUAAACUCAUCUGCCUUGGGGGAAGGUUUUACCUCUUUUCCAAUUCUCCUCCCCAUCCCACCAGGGUGGGAGAGAGCAAGUGGCUGCAUGGUACUUAUCUGGCCUUAAACCAUGAAAACAGAAGAAAGAACACUGUUCUCUUGCACCUGCCAAGAAACAAAACCAAAAACCAACCAAAACAAACAAAUGAAACAGGAGAGCCAGAGAGCUGGACGUUAAGAUCAGAACUCCACAUUCUCUCUUGCCCUCUCCCAUUCCUAAUGAAUGGAAACUUUCUCUUAAGAAAUCAGUACAACUUACAUCAGGGAGGAAGAAUGGAUCGUUUUGGAGAAGCAGGACUUGCAGUUCAUUCUCACUGAGGCCAGACAAAUCAUGUUUUUUUAGAACUUUUUUGUUCUCUGCAUUCAUGAUGUCAUGCGAGUACUUACAAGAGCUGCAAGAAAAUACACAGAAAUAUCAACGCUUGAGCCUUUAGUCAAGUUGAUUUAAAGAAGAACCUCAGAUAAUGUGCAACUUGGGAAAAGCCAAAGUGAAAGAAAGGUGUCUUGGUGAGAGUCUCUGAACAUUUAGAUGGUGUCUGUAAUUAGCCAGAGAAUGGACCAAAGAGCAGAACUCCUCUGUGACCCGAUCUUCCUCAUUUUAAACUUCAAUGCAGCAGGACCCCAGGCAUUCUUUCAGCAAUGGUGAAGCUGAAAACAACAUAUUUUGUUCUCCUCAGUGGCUGUGAAGUUUAAUUAAAAAAAAAACAAACAGGGAUUCUAAACGAAAAAGGAUGCAAGACCUGAAGUAAGGCUAGAUUUUACCUUAUCAGUUAAAAAAUAGUCUCUGUCUUGACCUAUGUAGUCCACCUAGCAGAAUUUUUGCCCUCUUAUUUUAAUCAAGCUCCCUCCCAUGAAAGGUAAUCUCUUUGCUUUAUUGAUUUUUAACGCAUACCAAAGUGACUUUAAAUACUUUGUGUUAUUCAGAGGGCAAAAUGGUUUAUCAUUAUGAAGGGAAGCGCCUCAUUGCAAGCUUUAAUUCACACAAAGUCAUCCAUCAUGAGUGUAUGUCCACAUCAAGGCAUUUCCAACAGUGAUCCCCACAGGAGCUUACUCUAUUGUUUGUAAUGUA